rnacentral:rRNA from 1 species
UACAGAGGGUGCGAGCGUUGUCCGGAAUCACUGGGCGUAAAGGGCGCGUAGGUGGCCUGGUAAGUAGGGGGUGAAAUCUCGAGGCUCAACUUCGAGGCUGCCUCCUAAACUGUCAGGCUCGAGCAGAGUAGAGGCAGGUGGAAUUCCCGGUGUAGCGGUGGAAUGCGUAGAGAUCGGGAAGAACAUCGGGUGGCGAAGGCGGCCU